UCAGGUGGGACUACCCGCUGAACUUAAGCAUAUCAAUAAGCGGAGGAAAAGAAAAUAACUAUGAUUCCCUUAGUAACGGCGAGUGAACAGGGAGAAGCCCAAAUUUGUAAUCUGGCACUUUUUACAGGUGUCCGAGUUGUAAUUUGUAGAACUGCUAUCCGUACUGGACCAUGUACAAGUCUGUUGAAAAGCAGCAUCAUUGAAGGUGAAAAUCCUGUAGAUGAUAUGGACUACCAGUAUAUUUGUGAUGCGGUUUCUAAGAGUCGAGUUGUUUGGGAAUGCAGCUCAAAGUGGGUGGUAAAUUCCAUCUAAGGCUAAAUAUGAGUGAGAGACCGAUAGCAUACAAGUACCGUGAGGGAAAGAUGAAAAGAACUUUGAAAAUAGAGUUAACAGUACGUGAAAUUGCUGAAAGGGAAACGUUUGAAGUUAGUUUUGUAUUCGUUGGAUCAGCUUCGCAAGGAGUGUAUUCCGAUGAUAGGCAAGUCAACAUCAAUCUAUGAGUGUUGGAUAAGGGUUUUGAGAACGUAGCAAUUCAGUUGUGUUAUAGCUCGAGACUUGGAUACGAUGCUUUGGAUUGAGGAACGCGUAGUAAGCUUUGAGCGGAUUCGAAAGGAUCUCCUUACUAUGGAUGUUGGUGAAAUAACUUUAAGCGACC
rnacentral:rRNA from 1 species